AUAUAUAUAUAUCCUGCCUUGCGCUUAAUUCCUACGUCACCUGAUCAUGUCAGGCCUAUAAGUAGAGGCAUGAUUUUACACAAGCUUCAGAUACCGGUCACGCGCGCAAGGCGUUCCCAUACUGAAAGCUCAUCACAUUAUAGAAUAAAGUUAAUAAGUGGAACCUGAACAUCAAUAGUAACUUUCACCGUUUGAGCAUGGUCUGGACUUUAAGUUCACUUGGAAAUCCUCUAUAAGUUAUUGGUCAUGGGGGGAAAUAAGAUUAAUCCAUCAGGAUCACGUUACGAUCUAUAAUUACAUCAUCAUUUACACUCCGUGUUGUUCAUGAUCAGGUGAUUUGUAGGAUGUAGAAAUCCGUCUCCAGAUUUUGAGUGAGUUUUAUGAACACGGUAACGUCCCUACACGCACCUCAGACAAGAUUUUUCACUUUAUUCGGUUUAUUCUAAUUCUGUAACCUUGACAACACUGUGACGUCAUGGCUCAGCCAGCAAUAAAACAUUCCACUCAGCUGAAGUGGUCUUUGGUUUCUACAGACAGAUCACUGAGAGACUUGUUUCUGCACGACAGAACGAUUUUCAAAAAUGAGGAGGAAUCACAAAAAGACACCUCAGCAUCAAGCUAUGCAGGGAUUAAGGAGUAGUAAAAUGGACAUAGUGUCCAGAACAAGAGAAAAAGCAGCAAUGACGAUCACUCCAGAAUCGAGUAACAGGCCUACAAACCAAGAUUUCUUGCAGCAAACUGCACGACCUGAGGAAGUUCUGCAUAGAACGCCCAGAAUGGAUCCGAUUGGUCUUCCCCCAUCCAGAGCACCGGUGUGUGGGGAAAAGUUAAGCAAAACAACCAGCAAUCCUGAGGAACUUACAGGUACUACAGAGGUAAAGAGUAAGUCUCUUGAGGCUACAAUUGAGGUAGAACCUCAAUUAAGAACCAACAUUACUGAUGCUAUCCUGGAUUGUAUAACCUCUACAUCGUUCAAGAAUCAGCUCGCUCUGCGCAUUGUGGGUGAGAUUGAUGAUAUACUAGCAAAAGCUGUGUCCCAGGUUCACGAGAAACAGCAUGCUGUGAGUUUCGAAACAGCAGAAGAUAAGACGAACAUCUCCCCGGAACAACAAUCGAGCAACAAUGUUUUCAUGCCUGGCUUCAGUGAUGGUGUGGCAUCUGUGCUUGGUUAUGCACUGAUAGAAGUUAGAGAACAUGUGAAAAAAACUUUUAGAAGCCAGUCACACAAAUUUCAGACAGUCUCACCCACGGCAUGCGAUUCUGUAACAGAAAUAGUGGACAGCGUCUUUGAAAGCAUGCUUGAUUCCUUGACUGCUCAACUGAAACCAGAUGUUUGCACUGAAAGGGAUCCUAGCAUGAUUGAUUCUCUUUAUAGUCAUGAGUUUGAUACAGUGUUUGAUAGUAUCCUUCCCAGCACUGACUCAGAUUUCAACCAGAGUCCAGUCCAUGAGCCAAGAGGAAGUGAUGAUGAGUCUAGUGUGACAACUCAGGGCAGUGAGACAUUAGACAUUGUGAAAGAGAGAGCUGACUCCCCAAGAAGAUCUACCAAAGUCCCGUUCUCCACAGUAUUUGACCAGUCUUCUGGACCUGAAGUUAAGGCCAAAGAUGAGGUUGAGGGCAUCUUGGCUGAUUCUGGAAGCAUGAGCCACCUUGAUGACCCUCUGACUUCAAGAAUCAAAUCUGACUCCGAUUCGGAUACAAGCGUUCUUGAGCUCACUGCUACUUCUGCAACGGAAAAUGUUGACCACAUGUCAAGAUCUGAUGAAGUAGCAGAAGAAGGACUUGUGGCUAAAUCAGAUGUUGAGCUUGAGCAAAUCAUGGCUGCUCCUUCUGAGGAAAACACUCCUUCUGACAUAACUUCCCAAAGCCUUGAGCUGAUUGGACACCAGGAAUGUGCUAGCCCUGUCCCUUCACCACCUUCUAGUGAUCAGCCAGAGGAUCUGCCAGCUCUUUGCCAAACAGAGCAUCUUUGACCAGUCUCACCAAAAUGUAGAGAGUGAUGGCAAGCGUAGACUUUCUCUGACUGGCAUGGAAAUGGGUUCUUCUGGAAGCAGAAGUCGCCUUGAUGAACCUCAGUUCAUCUGAAACUUACAACGUUGAAGAAGCUGCAGCAAAAUCAGCUGGAUACAAAGCAGUACUAUGUUGAAAUUAUUCUGACGUAUUAAAUCAUUGCAAAUAAAUGAACCAUCCAUUCAUUAUCUUUUUACACUGUUCUUUCUUGUAUCCAAAUUGUAGCCUCCCCAAGAGGACUGUCGUGGGAAAUAAUCUUUCCAGCCUAACAAAAAGCUUCAGAGACAGAGGGUUUGUAGAUGUCAAAAGUAAUUAAACUUUAUUGAAACAAUAAAGUGAGACAGUCUGCAGAAAGUCUAAAUUAUGCAACCACACACAGCCCUUUUUAUACCUUUCUCCACAGCAAACUCAUCUUAGGUGGGGUUUUACCUUUUCUCAUUAAAAAAAGACCAGUCUUCUUUGGCCACAAUUAAUUAUUCAAAUCUAUAUGUUAUCUUAAAUUUGUGGAGCAUGCGCAGUUAGUUGUUUUACUGGAAAAGGUUUUAUGAGGACAAGGUUUCUUUUUUUAAAAAGAGUCUUUGUUUUUCGUUCGUCUCUGACCAACACUCCCUUCUUAUGUCUCAAUGAGCUUCUGUCUGUUUCUAUCUGCCAUCCUAGCUGAUAUCCACCUCCCUUCCUGAGCCCUUUCAUAUAAAAUGCAAUUAUUUCAAUACAGUAAUUUCAAUGCAUCAUAUUUCACAAUGGCUAACAUGGCUAAUUACAAUGAAUGCAAAUUAUAUGCUUUAAUUAAAAAAAAAAACAAAAAAAAAAACAGCUGUGGUUGCUUAUUCCACUUGUAAUUUCAGGUGUAAUUUGCAGUUGUAAUUUUUCAUGAAGUCGUCAGCCAGUAACAGUCAGGACGAGACUGGGUAGUGGAGGUGUGAUAUGAACAGGGUAAGAGACAAACAGGAGGUUUGCCUUGCUGAAACUUCAACAACUUUUUGUACUUCAGCAAUGUUAAAAUAAAAUAAUUGAAAUAAUCUUUUUUGAGAUGUGUUGCUGCCAUCAAAUUGAAAAUUACCUAUUUUUCCCUUAAAAUUGUACAUUUCCUCAGUUUAAACAUGUGAUAUGUGUUCUACAUUCUAUUGUGAAUAAAAUAUGGGUUUAAGAUUUGCAAAUCAUUGCAUUCUGUUUUUAUUUACAGUUUACCCAUCUUCUAUAUGUUGAUGCUGAUAGUUGUAUCUUCC
ensembl:lncRNA